GACGAAGGUGGCGAGCGUUACUCGGAAUUACUAGGCGUAAAGCGCGAGCAGGCGGUUCGGUAAGUCCGUCGUGAAAGCCUUGGGCUCAACCCAGGGAGGCCGAUGGAUACUACCGGACUUGAAUGCGGGAGAGGUCACUGGAAUUCCUGGUGUAGCGGUGAAAUGCGUAGAUAUCAGGAGGAACACCAAAGGCGAGGGCAGGUGACUGGACCGUUAUUGACGCUGAGACGCGAAAGCCGGGGGAG
rnacentral:rRNA from 1 species